rnacentral:rRNA from 1 species
AAGACCUUGCGCUUUUGGAGCGGCCGAUGUCUGAUUAGCUUGUUGGUAAGGUAAAAGCUUACCAAGGCUUCGAUCAGUAGCUGGUCUGAGAGGACGGCCAGCCACACUGGGACUGAGACACGGCCCAGACUCCUACGGGAGGCAGCAGUGGGGAAUUUUGGACAAUGGGGGCAACCCUGAUCCAGCCAUGCCGCGUGAGUGAAGAAGGCCUUCGGGUUGUAAGCUCUUUCAGCCGGAACGAAACGGUUACGGUUAAUACCCGUGACCACUGACGGUACCGGAAGAAGAAGCACCGGCUAACUACGUGCCAGCAGCCGCGGUAAUACGUAGGGUGCAAGCGUUAAUCGGAAUUACUGGGCGUAAAGCGUGCGCAGGUGGUUUUGUAAGUCAGAUGUGAAAUCCCCGGGCUUAACCUGGGAACU